CUUGUGUAACCUGCACCAAGAUUUCAGGAUUUUAGGUGAUCUUCAUGGUGAGAACCUAUCAACGAUCCCCUGGGUCGCGAUCCUACAUGGAUUACAGCCCAGAACAAAUGGAUUCAGCAAUUACUGCUGUUAGAAAGGGAAUGAGCAUGACAGCUGCCGAAAGAUACAAAGUAAAAAUGGAAGCGUUGAGGAAAAGAUGCAAGAACAUGGACAUGAAGAGACCACGGGGACAGACAAUAUUAACGGAAGCUGAAGAAUCUUUGUUGUGUUCUUACACCACCCAGCUUGCUGAAUGGGGCUUCCCAAUAACCUCAUUUGAGUUACGUUUGCUCGUGCGAUCAUUCUUAAAAAAGCAGGGUAAAACAAUCACAAGGUUUUCUUAUGGGUGUACCCCAGGAGUAGAGUGGGCUCGGUCGUUCAUAAAACGCAACAGUGAAAAAAUAUGUUCCCGCAUGGUCUCAAACAUCAACCCCAAACGUUCUCAGUGAAAUCCUGAAGAUGUUAACAACUAUUUUGACAAUAUGGCAGACAUUAGUAACAGAAUCUACAGACUUAGGACUUUUCUUAAAAAAUCUCGAGGGGGUUUCUUUAUUUGGUCAGACAAGCCAGAUGUUUCUGUCAUUGACAAAGCACAGGUAAUCAGAGUUCUUCCUGCAUCAGUUGAAGAGAGAAGAGGCAGGUUAAUGUUUCAUGUAACGUUUGAUAGCUUUAAUGUUGGUUAAACUUUUCAACCGAACGUGUGUUUUUUAGUGACGUUGUUGGAGAAUUUACAAAUUGGUUGGCAAAAUGAACAAUUAUGGAACUGCAUGUAACAUAACUAUGGGUACCAUAGAUAUGAUGCCCUAUUUAGGACUAUUUUAUAUAUUUCACUCUUGUGUAUUGAUAUGUAUUCAUUAUUUUGUGUGACCAUGUUCACCCCUUUAAAAAUUCACCAUUUUCAGAAUGUUUUGCAUUGGUUUUGUGUUGUGACCAUAGUGACCCCAAUCGGUGAGGUGACUAUGGUCACAAUGUAUUAUUUUUUUACUUAAAUAUAUAGGCUCAAAAAAAUUCAUGCUAAUAGUAUUUUGAAAGCCAGAUCAAGUACUGUGUUGUACAAAUUUUUAAUGAAAUAUAUAGUUAAAUAUAACAAAUCUGGUAUGAAAAAACCAUUAAAAGUGACCAUAGUCACCCCGCUUGACCUUAUAAAUUUAAAACCUAAUUCCCG